GGCAACGUGGCCGAGCGGUUAAGGCGUAAGACUCGAAUUCACUGAGUUUCUCAGUGAUGGUAAUCUUAUCUCUUCGGAGUCGCAUGUUCGAAUCAUGCCGUUGUCG